ensembl:lncRNA
GCCGUUGGUGUGGUGUGUAGUGGUCUAGUAUCAAGAUUGGCUACUUGAUACAAACCCUUUAGUUAGUCUUACCUCUAGGGUGGGCUUUAGCCGCGACUGACCUACUCUUACCCUCGCCCUUAAAUGUCUGCCCUGAACAGGGCUGUACUUCUUUCCUUUUAUGAUUUGGAUUAUCAGUGAAUACCAUACCGUCAUUAUCAAUUAUAGGCAUUUGUCUAGUCUCAUUUACACUGUCUGCCUUGUGUACAUAAACCAUCACUUACUUAUUAAAGAUAUAUUUAUUGUGGUACACAGUCUCCUCCACUCAUUUCAUUCCUUUGGAAGUAAGAACCGGAACACAGGGGAAUAGUGACCUUGGUGAGGUUACAAAGACAAGGUAGCAGCUAGUGUUGAAGAAUGGAUGACUUGAAAUUGGACGACUUUAAAUUAAUAUAUGAAAUUGAACAUCAACACCUAUACGGAUAAAAUAAAUAAACAAGGAUAGCAAAACAGAUUGAUAAGCAAUGAGAAUGGCAGAAACACAGGCAGGACGUCAGAUGACGAGACAGAUCAUAGUGACACAGGCUGUUUUUUUUUAUUUUUUUCGUCAUAUGAAGGCUGAAACAUUCAUAACAUCUUAUUCAGUCGUACUGGUCCUUUUGUAAUGCCAACAUGUGCACUUCGUUGUGGAUAAGUAAAGCCUAUUUUGCUACAUUUUUGUAGUCCUGGUAAUCUUUUCUUUGGCAUAUUGGUGAGGUUAUUAAGAGGACCAUUUCUCAAUCGUUUUGUUCUUGAUGAAUUAAUGUUUGUUUAAUAAUCAAUUCUUUUUCAACAAAUAACUCAAUUAUAAUUACAAAGAGGACAAUUCAUAACUUUUUAUCGCAACUUUCACUUGUUUCGCCAAUUUCAUUGCAACAAAAACCUAAAAAUAAAAACUUUCAUCGCAACUUUUUGGAAAAGCUCCUGCGAAAUCAGGAAUUUUAGGCCGCAAAUAUCUUAAAAAAUGUUCUUCCAGAAGCCCAGAAAGAUACACCACUGCAGCGACAAAAGCUGCACACUUUGUGGAUAAUUGUCAUAAAAAGACAUGUUCCGAUGUUUAGUUGUUAUAUUGACUGCUGUCAUUAAAAGAAACACAUGAACACCAUGAUUCCUUUAAGCGUUUGUGUCGGUGGCCACGCCGCGCCGCGUGCACCGUGCCGCAGCCCCCCCCCCCAAAGCUGUAAACCUAGGGGAAACACUGAGUAUAUUUAUUAGACAAACACAAUUGCAAUCAGGCUCACUCCCAGCACAAGGCUGAAAGUGAAGCAAUGAUAAACACAUCGCACAAGGUUUAUAUAGACAGAAGUUUAGCGUUCAGCAGAGAUAACCACGUGGUGGAUUUCUGACGUCCGAGGCAAGGAUGGAAGUUUUGCAAGGUCGGAAGAAGCACAGUUCGACCCUUCUUAUCACUUCUGGUCUAAACAUGCUCUUGUACAUAUGCAGACUAAGUGGCACCUAAUAUUCUAAGUUACACACACACACAGAAUAGCCAUUUCAUAAGCACAUGAUUCAUACAUUCUUAAGUAAUUAACAGUGUUUGCAAAUUAUCUCCAUCAAUGACCUUUUGAAGGUGAUCUAUGUAGUUGUGCUGAACCAUAUAGGCUAUUUUGCCAAAUGACUUAGAGCUUUGAGAAUGUAAUUUCUGUUUCAAGAAUUGAGCCAAAGCAAUGGAAAAAAACUGUAAUGAAAGCCUGUUCAGCAAAAUUUUUCUAAAAGAAAAAAAACCCAUUUGGUCUAAAAACAUGUAAUGUUUACAUAUUUAUAUAUUUUGCAGUAUGUUGCACUGUGUGCAUUGCAGAAAGUUAGCUGGUAAGAAAAUGACCAUCCUUGGAAGAAAAGCUAUGUACUCUUAAGGGUUAUAAGCCUGUCCUCUUAUGCAAUGUAUAGAACAAAACGGUAGCCUCAAUCCUAAGACAUUCAUAGACUGGGUAAGCGACUAGGUAACAAUUGACUCUUUAACAGUUCACUUGAACAUUUGAUUAUGAGCGUUAGACGUGUUGUGGCAGAUAAUAUAUCUUUAUCAUGACAAUUUAGGUCAAAGGUUGCCACGGCGACAUCUCAAUAACAUAAUAUUAAGGUGAUGAUACCUACGGCAACUUUUUGAUACAUUUUGCCGGGCAUUGCUGAGCGAUGUUGUUCAGGCACGUUCCCACUGAUAUUGGGCAACAAAUGAGAGAACUGGAGGACUUAAAUGGUCAGUGGGCAACUUGUCACGAUCAUCCAAUUAGAACACUCGGAACUGGUCAGCGAUGCUCAUAAAGUGUCCAAAGUAUCACCACCAGCUUAUUAGGCGAUAUUAUUACACACAAUUUUUUUCGAGCAAAAUCAAAAAAAAAUUCAGGGCUUACCUUCAAAGAAAUCAUCUAAAUUUAGAAACAAUGUUAAUUUUCCAUUUUUUUCCCAUGACAGGGAAGAUACACACAUCAGCACUAAAUGCCUAACUCUGUGACAAAUGCACAAAUCCAACCAACACUGGGCACAGACACUGAACAUCCAACCAACACUGGGCACAGACACUGAACAUCCAACCAACACUGGGCACAGACACUGAACAUCCAAUCAACACUGGGCACAGACACUGAACAUCCAGAGGCAGAUUGCUAAAAGAAAGCAGGACAUGGAUAAUGAGCCUGAAAAAGUGUUUGCACAGAUAAACACACAACACUGAUACAGCCCACAACCGACAAUUCGAUAUAGGCUUACAAUCCACAAAGCUUAUAUCCUAGACCAGAGGUCUUCAACCGGGGGUCCGCGACCCCCAGGGGGUCCGUGGAGGUACUGCAGGGGGUCCGCCAAAUUAUUUCAUCUGAAGCAUUUUUUCCCUCUUCCAAAAAUUAAAAACGUCCAAUAGGGCUACAUAAACAUAACGUAAAAAUUGCUUUCUAUUCCUUAAAAAUAAUACAUAGGCUACCCAUUAGUCUUCACGCGAUCAUUUGAUCACCAUGGCAACAUAUGCACUUUUAGCUACAUUUAGCUAUCUGGUGCCAAAACACGUUACCUGCUUUAAUCGUUUUGUAAUUUCUCGGAACAAAAGCUCCACGUCAGACACCACUGAUGGCGGUUCAGAUGACCUACAUUCAGAGGAUGCCAACACCCCUUCCACGAACAGCCAAAAGCCAAACGGGAGAACACACAUAAAUAUUCAGAGAAUUAUCUGAAGUUUGCCUUCACCUACAAAGAGACCGAUGGUGACGAAUUACCAGUGUAACCACUACGUGGUUUGCCCUCCCGUGCUAUCAAACGAAACUAUGAAACCAUCAAAGCUGCAACGACACUUAAAGACAACCCAUGCUCACUUGAAAUAAUUUUUAAUUACCUGUUUAAAAUCUUUUUUUUUGGGGCCAGCAGACAUUGAUGAGACAAUCAGCCAAAGUGUGCGAGCUAACUUUAAAAGCCUCUUAUCAAGUUGCAUUACGUGUCGCUCACACCAAACAGCCAUACAUAAUUGUGGAAAGUUUAAUAUUGCCAGCAGCUAUAUGUGCAAAACAAUGUUUGGGAAGGAUGAGUACGUAAAAAAACUGAAAAGCAUCCCAAUGCUAUUGAUGAAUUGGCAGCUGAUGUGAGGGCACUACUAGUCGCAAAACUCCCAAAGGCAGAUUAUUUUGCACUAUAAUUAGUUGAAUCCACCGAUGUGUCAAACGACGCUCAGCUUUUAGCUUUUUUGUGAUUUGUCGACCAAAAUGAGAUGCAGGAGGAAUAUCUAUUCUGUAAGCAGCUCUGGACGUAAAACAAGUUCAGAGAUUUUCAAAGUGAUAGAACUAUUUUUUCCGUGAACAUGACAUACCCUGGCCAAAAUGUGUCGCGAUGUGCACAGGCGGUGCAAGAGCCAUGUAUGACGCACUGCAUGCUUCAUAGGGAGAAUCUUGUUGCCAAAGAAAUGAGUGAUGAAUUCUCAAACGUCAGAUCUCUCACUAGGUAUGAGAUAUUUCAUCCAUACUUAAGCUUCUCAAGCUACUCAAUUCUUUGUCCCUCCCUAAUUGAAUACAGAGUGAUGGCUAACUGUAAGGGAGAAAAAAUGUCAAUAAUAAACAGAAUAAAUUUAAACGAGUUGUGUGUCACAGAUGAUUUGAAAUUAUGUUCAAACAAGUGUAGGGGAGUGUGAGUGUGUGUGUGUGUGUGUGUGUGUGUGUGUGUGUGUGUGUGUGUGUGUGUGACUGACACUUAGUUCCAAAUAAAAUAUAUGAAUAUCAGGCCCAAAUUUGGGGCGGCGGGGGUGGGGGUCCCUGCUCAGUGUCUCUCUCAGCCAAGGGGUCCUUGGGCUGAAAAAGGUUGAAGACCCCUGUCCUAGACAGAAUAUAUAUCCUGGUCAUAACAUAUAUCCUGGACAGAACAAAUAUAUCCUGGACAAAACAUAUAUCCUGGACAGAACAAAUAUAUCCUGGACAAAACAUAUAUCCUGGACAGAACAUAUAUCCUGGCCAGAACAUAGUCCAGGAGAUAGUGUCAGUACCCCAGCAUUGUUAAGAGUCAUGUUAAACAUCCAAAAAGCUUUCUUUUUAUUUCAGUGAUUUAUUUACAAUGUCAGUGUUUUCUUAUCCCAGUGAUAAACCGGUUAGAUAAAAUAUCAACAUCUGCCUUGGUAGACUUUCAUUUUUUUCAGAAUGUGUCUAGAUGGUAUCCAGUCUUUAAAUGGUUUAACUGACACACAUAAUUAAAUGCCAAUCAUACCUGUCAGGUGAUACAUGCCAACAGUGGUCUGCUCUGCAAGUGCAGAAAGAGGGUUUAUAGUCUCAGACGCAGACAAUCCUGCGAAAAACACAAAUGUAUAUUUCACAACUUGUACAACAACAGUAUCAACAAAAAACAGUGGUAUUUUCCGUAUUGCUUCUUUCCCCAUGACUGAUACUUCACUGGGCUAUUAAUGAUGCAAACCCUCAGCGGUCUGCUUUAAGUAAUAUGAAGACUUCAUAAGUUUAAAGCACUUGGCAACCCCUUUUGUCCAUAGCAACUUUCAAAACAUUUGACAAAAAAGUAUAAAUAUAGAUUGAUUUGAAUCCAGGCUUGUUCAAACACACACGCACGCACACAUACACACGCACACACACACACACAGACACACACACAGACACACACACGCACGCAGGGACGUGCACAGGAGGGGGCUAAGGUUGCUCGGGCAGGUUCCUCUUUUUAGGCAGUCUUCAGGUCCAUGUGAAGAGAUUUCGUUACUGGAGGAGUUCCCCCUUCUGGAAGUGUCCGAGGGUCUGACGGAUUACCAGCAGGGGAACCCUGCCCACUGUCUGUCUGGGAGAGUGGGGUGCUCUCUGGCUCAUUGUGUAACAUUUGACCUUUGUUGAAUGAAUGCUGAGAGAUACUCAAAGACAGUGUUAAAAGGCCUGAAAGAGAGAAAUAGAGACAAAAAAGCUUAUGAGACAAAGCAUGGCAGUAAUGAGGGCAGGAGCGUGUGCGUAAUUUCUCUCUUUUUUCUAUCCAGCAGGAGGAACAGUAACAUCAACUUGUUUCAAAAUAAAUGAAAAAACGCACGUGUAGCACAAAACGUAGGUCUGUGUAAAAGGGAAAAUAUCCGUAACCACAUAGGAAAGCCUCUGACCUAGAAAGAGUAGGUGGGAGAGGAUGUUUUCCAGUUUACGAAAGUCUGCCAUCUGAAUGAAAAAAGGCAUCAGUUAGCAUGAAUUAGUGAAGACAGAAAAUAACCAGCCAGACCAAAGCAGAGUUUGUGCAUCAUUCCAGUUUCCAAUUUUAAGAGGCAAUUAAAAUGUACCAUGUUAACAUUUGAAUUUACUCACUUGCUUUAACCGUCUCAAACACAACAUGCAACAUUGCACGCAUCAUUGUAAUACAAACUCAUUGCAAACAUACUGUAUUAUACCAAAACUAGUUGCCUAUAAAACCAUACCUCAAAAAGUGUCAAAUUGUUGCCUAGUGUUCCUUUAAUAUAUGCCUGUGGGUGUAUAGGCAUAAUGAAACAUUGUAAGCAAUUAAUCCUGAAUAACUCACCUUUUUAAACUGCGCUAGGAAUAGGGAAGAAUAGCCUACCCGAAUAGGGAAGAAUGGCCUACUCGAAUAGGGAAGAAUGGCCUACUCGAAUAGAGAGGAAUGGGUGGCCUGAUGGAAAAUGGAGAGAACAGUUCUAAGGCUUUGCUCUGAUUCCCUUCCAGCCCUUUUAGCUCCGUCUCUUAUCAGAGAGAUGUGGUGAACAAACCAGCAAAUGCACACACACACACCUGUCACUGGGUCCCCAUAUCCAGAUGAAGUGGGGUUUACUUCACAGUGGUGUGCAUGUCCAUAUAACCAUUUAGCAGAUGCUUUCAUCCACAGUGCGCACUACACUCACUGUACAGUACAGGUAUACAUUUUCAUCAGUAUACGUGUUCCCUGGGUAUUAAACCCAUGAUCUUGGUUUUGUUAGCACCUAGCUCGCUCAGUUUAGCUCUGCCAGAGUCACAGGAGCAUCCAUACAUCUGAACAUACAGCCAUUAGGUCAUCUGAAGCAAGAGACAUAGACGUUACGUUAAGGGAGGAGACAGAUAAAAGGAAAGUAAAUGGGGGUAAAAAGGGGGAAUCCGUAACGCUAAACAUGGUGCAUUUGUAACUGGAAGUCUUACCCCAUAUUACAAAGACCCAGUCACAUUUGACUGGCUACAACAAUGUCUAUAGUUGUAGCCAAUUCAUUUAUGCAUUUUUUUUUUUUAAUUAGGGUUCGAGUUAGUUGUUAAAAGUAGUGUUUAGUAGUAGAUCCUAGUUUGAUCCUCUCUGUUUUCUGAUUACAAAAAAUAAGUUACACUAUGUUCUCAUGUGUGAUGGGUGACGGAGAAGUGCACUGUUUUUCAAGGGGUAAUUCCUUGUCAUGUCACUGUGCACAGCAGAUCAUGGCUUUCAACGUGGGUGUGUGUGUGUGUGGCUGGUUGGCGCCAAUAUUGUUACAUAAUUCAUGAAAUAAUGAGAUGCAGAACUGAAUUUUUUUUUUUAUUUCCCAGGUUUGUCUUGGCUGACUGCUUUUCUUACAUUAUCCAACGUAAGUGUAUAAAUUACAAAAAGCAGCUUCAAAUAUGUGCAUAAUGAUGUUUUAUUUAUCGUCAUUAAACAUCCGCUCCUAGCUUGUUUCAGAGCCUUGUGUGACGUACGGUGUGACAGAGAAGUGCACUGUUUUUCCAGGUAAAUCCUUGUCAUGUCACUGUGCACAGCAGAUCAUGGCUUUCAACACCUUCGUCAUUGCUGCACCUCUGUGCUUUCUUGUGGCAAAAAUGUGCAUGGGUGUGUGUGGCAAUGAGAUACAGAACUGAAAAUAUUAGUUUUUCAUUUCCCAGGUUUGUCCUUGUAUGGCUUUUCUUUCAUUAUCCAACUUAAGUGUAUACAUUACAAAACGCAGCUUCAAAUAUGUGCAAAAUGGUGUUUAUAUGUGUAUAAAGGAGUGUAUAUGUGUCUAAUGGUGUUUAUAUGUGUUAAAUGGUGUUUGUAUGUGUAUAAUGGUGUUUGUAUGUGUAUAAUGAUGUUUGUAUGUAUCUUAUGGUGUUUAUAUGUGUAUUAAGGAUGUUGAACCCUUUUUGGUGAACCCAACUGAAGGAAAAUCACAUCUUUCUUGUCAAGGUCAACAUUAGGGACAGGUUGUUGCUUCCAACCCAUUUGUCAGUGUCCAAUGUGUGUAUAUUCACAUUAACCUUUUAUUGAAUCUCUCAUUAUACAUAGGACCUUUAAACAUGCACUUAAGACAUACCUCUUUGAUCUUGCUUAUCACUCACUGUAACAUUUAUCUGUUUACUUGUCUCAGGGAAAUCUGUCUCUCUACAAGCGUUCGUAACCCCCCCCCCAUUUUUCUUUCUGUGAGGCGCAUUGUGUAACCUCCUGGUAUGAAAUGCGCCGUACAAAUAAAGUUUGAUUGAUCGAUGGAUUGAUAAGACAGUGUGUCAUGUUUUGCCUGCAUUCUUUGCCUCUAUUGUUCAUCUCAAAGUUCAAACAAACAGUGUGACCCACAUGAAUGUGCCUGAGAUUUGCAUACUCUUGCUCUUGAGAAUCUUCCCACAGUGACUUGUGCGCCAAAGCACCCUUUGUGGACCUGACAAUUAACCUUCGUACAAGCAGAUGAAACAUAAUACACAGUAUGCCUGGCAUGCAUCUCAGUAGGUGUUCGUAAUCUAAUGCUAACAUGGCAAACCACAUAGCCCUGAGGAAAUGAAUAGAAAUAUCCCAGGUACGAAACACAAUUUAGCAGAUUGAUAGCACAGCAAGAGAGUAUGUUCAAGACUAAGUAUCGGGAAAUCUGGGGGGGGGGUCGGUGGUUGGAGAGGGUUUAUACUUAUAGUUGAUACUGCUGGGUUAAACUGUUAAGUGUUGAGGGCUGCAGUCCUGUAAGAACUUUACUUGAACUUUAAGGUGGUUUGGCUCUUGGCCCUCGAACCGAUGGCAUAUGUAUAGAUCGGCAAACAUUUGUCAAGAAUACCUUCACUAGUGCCCCUAGCGAGACUAAAAUUAAGACCACUCCUUCCUCUGGCUGUUUAAAAAUCAAUUAAAUCCUAAAUGUUGGGCCAUGUUCUUCAUCAUACACACCUGAAAAGAGUCAAAUUUUAGCAUAAUCUAUCUGUAUCACAAAGUCCAGUCCAAAAGCAUAAUUCCCUAGCAUUUAUGGUAGGUCAAAAUUCACUCAAGUUAUAUCAGGACUCCAGAGUUGUAGAUCAGUAUAUUUAUUCAGCAACAAUUCUCGGGCUCACUCACAGCACAAAGAUGAAAGUGAAGCCAUUUCACAAACAUCGCACAGGAUUUAUAUAUUUAAGAUUUAUCUAACUCUGACGUCAUAUAUGUUUCAAAUGUCAGCAAGAAUAGCCACACUUGACUAAAAGUCCUUUUAUGUCAUCCCAACUCCACUUUCUGUAAUCUAAGGAUGUCAGUUUUACAAAGGGUCGAACAAGCACAAUUCGACCCUCCUUAUCACCGCUGAGCAAAACAUACUGAUGGCAUUGGUUACAGACGCAUUUGUAAACUUCUGAAUGUUCCAGUGAGCACUCCUGGGGCCAUAAUCCAGAAGUGGAAAGAACAUUUCACCAUAAACUGGCCACGACCAGGUGCUCCUCGCAAGAUUUCUGACAGAGGAGUGAAAAGAAUUAUCAGAAUAGUUUUCCAAAAGCCAAGGACCACUUGUGGAGAGCUUCAGAAAGACCUAGAAUUUGCAGGUACAGUUGUUACAAAGAGAACAAUAAGUAAUGCACUCAACCGCCAUGGCCUGUAUGCAUGCUCACCACAUAAGACUCCAUUGCUGAAGAAAAAGCAUGUUGAAGCUUGUUUAAAGUUUGCAGCACAACAUUUGGACAAGUCUGUGAAAUACUGGGAGAAUAUAGUCUGGUCAGAUGAGAGCAAAAUUGAACUCUUUGGAUGCCAUAAUGCACACCAUGUUUGGAGGACAAAUGGCACUGCACAUCACCCCAACAGUGAAGUUUGGAGGUGGGAACAUCAUGGUGUGGGGCUGCUUUUCAGCAUACGGUACUGGCAAACUUCACAUAAUUGAAGGAAGGAUGAAUGCUAAAAUUUACCGAGACAUCCUUCAUAAAAAUCUGCUGCCAUCUACCAGGAUGAUGAAGAUGAAACCAGGGUGGACAUUUCAGCAAGACAAUGAACAGCCAAGGGAACUCUCAAUUGGUUUCAGAGAAAGAAAAUAAAGGUGCUAGAAUGGCCCAGCCAAUCACCUGACUUUUGGAUACAAUUGAAAAUCUAUGGAAAGAACUGAAGAUCAGAGUUCAUAGAAGAGGCCCACGGAACCUUCAAGAUUUGAAAACUGUUUGUGUGGAAGAAUGGGUCAAAAUCACACCUGAGCAAAGCAUACCACUAGUUUCUCCAUACAGGAGGCGUCUUGAAGCUGUCAUUACCAACAAACGCUUUUGUACAAAGUAUUAAAUAAAUAUCAGUAAGCGUGUUCAAUACUUUUUCCCUGUGUCAUUUCACAUAACUUAAUUUCUGAACGUAUUUGUUUUGGUUUAUUUGUAUGUAUGGAUUACCUGGGUUGUAACAUACAUCUGGUGAAAAUGUCAUGUCAAUGUCAUGAAAUAUAUUUACUGAGAAAAAUGGUGACGUGUUCAAUACUUAUUAUACCUGCUGUAAUUUAGGACAGCGUGUCAUGUUUUGCCUGCAUUCUUUGCCUCUAUUGUUCAUCUCAAAGCUCAAACAAACAGUGUGACCCACAUGAAUGUGGCUGAGGUUUGCAUACUCUUCCUCUUGAGAAUCUUCCAACAGAAAGAUGGAGCUUCUCAGUGACUUGCGCGCCAAAGCACCCAUUGUGGACCUGCCAAUCAACCUUUGUACAAGCAGAUGAAACAUAAUACAAAAAGCCACCACAGUAUGCCUGGCAUGCCUCUCAAUAGGUGUUAGUAAUCUAAUGUAAAUAUGGCAAACCACAAUGCCCUAAGGAAAUUAAUAGAAAUAUCCCAGGUACGAAACACAAACAUUUGUCAAGAAUACCUUCACUAGUGCCCCUAGCGAGACUAAAAUUAAGACCACUCCUUCCUCUGGCUGUUUAAAAUUCAAUACAAUCCGUAACGUUGGGCCAUGUUCUUCAUCAUACACACCUGAACAGAGUCACAUUUUAGCAUAAUCUAUCUGUAUCGUCAAGUCCAGUACAAAAGCAUAAUUCCCUUGCAUUUAUGUUAGGUCAAAAUUCACUCAAGUUAUCUCAGGACUCCAGAGUUGUAGAUCAGUAUAUUUAUUCAGCAACAACUGUCGGGCUCACUCACAGCACAAAGAUGAAAGUGAAGCCAUUUCACAAACAUCGCACAGGAUUUAUAUAUUUAAGAUUUAUCUAACUGACGUCAUAAAUGUUUCAAAUGUCAGCAAGAAUAGCCACGCUCGACUAAAAGUCCUUUUGUGUCAUCCCAACUCCGCUUUCUCUAAUGCAAGAAUGUCAGUUUUACACACGGUCGAACAAGCACAAUUCGACCCUUCUUAUCACCUCUGAGCUCACCCAAACAUAUGCAGACUAAGUGGUGUCAGCACCUAAUAAUCUAGGUUACACACACACACAGAAAUACAGAAAUAAGCACAUGAUUCAUACAAGGUAAUUGUUAAUACAAGGCACUUAAGUCAUGUUUUGAAAUUAAUUCUAUCAAUAUGGAUAGAGAAAAAAGCAACAUACCAUGACACUGAUAACAACCUGGUAAAUAUGGUUUCAACAAUAUAAUCCAUAUACAGUCACAGGUCUCUGGAACAUAAGCACCUUUGACAAGAUUACACUGUAUUAUUAGCCAUUGCUCCUGCGCCUUCUCACCAGGAAACGGCCUUCUUAGCAAUGGGAGAAAUCGAGUGACAUAAAUUCCUGAGAAAUGUAUCGCCUUGGGCUACUAAUACAUGUUUUUGCACAACUAACAAGCUCCACUACAACUGGUGCGACCUUCUCAGUUUCGGUCAUUAAUGCCACAGUGUUUCUGGGGGGGCAAAAAGCGAGUUUAAGGACUACAGGAAUAUGGAGGAUUUUUUGUUCUUGUGUUUACGUGGCAAUAUAGAUAUAUAUUUUUGUUUCUGAAGAGGAUUGUUUAUUUUGGUUGGAUUACGUCUACACACGGGAGCUUUUUUGAUUAUUAUCGAGGAAGCAGGCCGAGUCCGACACUGUGGCCUGUCGGAACACUGGGUCACGCUGGGACUUUAAAUAUUUGUUUCCAAGGACUUUAUGAUGAGGAACAUUGAUACUUUUUUGUUACGUUAAUAACCACACUUGAAUUGUUUAUGUAUACGUGUUUCUGUUAUGUUUACUCUGCCUAAAGGCGCUAAUACAGAUCUCCUGAUUUUAAGAUAACAGCGAAAUGUAACGAGUUCUGCUUUGGGGAUAUAACCGUUGCACACCUUAAAACUUGUUUGCAGGAAGAAUUAGACAAAGUUACACCUAAAACAUAUCAUCACUUGGUGACUGUGGUAAAUACUUUACUGUACCAAGUUUUUUUUUAAAUAUGUUGCAAGAAUCUAAAUUGAAUUUAAUGUUUAUUUUUUUUUUAAAACUAUACAAUUCACAAGGUAAAACAUCAGAUAUUGUGCUGUUGUAUUGUUUUCAAUACAAUUCAAAGAGGAUUUACAAAUCACUGUUUUCAGUUUUAAUUUUAAUUUAACAUACCGCUCCAACUUUUUAUGAUUUGGGGUUGUAUACCAUUCCGUCAGGUAGAACACAGGGGUGUGGUAUUAAGAAAACACCCUUAAUGCACUCAAAAUACUAUUACUUUAUACUCCAAUGAACGACAUGAGUGUGUCUUUGUUCAUUUAUGUACUCUACCUAUUCAGUGAAAUAUAUAGGUUAUCAUAGGCAAGGUGAUUUUAGUCAGCUUUGUUAACUUGAUGUGUUCAGGUAAGUAUUGUUGUGUUUUGAAUUAGUUGCUGUUUGCAUAUCUUUGCAUUGUUGAUUGUUCUUGUUUUGAGUUCCUAGUGAGUUGAUUUACACAUCAAUCAAUCAAUCAAUUCAAUCUUAUAUAGCGCUUCUCUAAAUACCCGAAGUCGCUUUACAGAGUCCAGAGUCCAGUAAUCAUUCAUACACAGUCAUACCGGUGGUGGUAAGCUACAUCAGUAGCCACAGCUGCCCUGGGGUAGACUGACAGAAGCGUGGCUGCCAAUCAGCGCCUACGGCCCCUCCGACCACCACCAACAUUCAUUCAUAUUCAUACGAUGCAAUGCAUGUCUUUAUGACACACUUAUUAUUUACACAUGAAGUCAAAUAAAUCACAUAUGUGUGAGAAAUAAUAUCACAGGUGAGAGAUCUGGGUAAAGAGACAAAGGGACAAACACUGGAUGACUGAUCAUUAUUCUUUAAUUUAUCAUAUAAAUAUUGCUGUCGUCUCAGAGGCAUACAGGCUAAGACUGCUCCAGGCAUCUUUUUCUUAAACCACCACAAUAAGACUCUAGGAGACAUGUGAACUCCAGUCCCUGAAAGUGCAACAACUAAAAUUACAGAAAUAUCCAUCCUGUGAAAUAUUCUCCUUCAAAUUACUCAUAACAUAGAUAUCACAGAAUAUGGACUACCUUUGUGAUUUUAGUUAAAAACAAACACACCCACACACACAUUCUCUCUCAUUUCAACAUAUCAACAUUCUUCACAAGUUAUUUUAUACGGCCAAUAUAUAGAAAAAUAAGGGUUUAAAUAGAUUACAUGUACAUAGAUUACUCAUAUAUCACUGACACAUUAUAACUUCCUACAAGUAUUUAUUGCAAUUAUAAAAUGGGUCCAGUCCAACCCUUUAGUAUGUCAGGCCUUAAGCGCAUCAGGGGUGCGCAAAUUGAAUGCACAUCGAGGAGGACAUAUUUCCUUCAUGUAUCUGUGGAGGACGUAUUUCCUUCAUGUAGGCAGCUACCACGGCCGUGUGACGAGCACGGAGAGGAGGGUGAGGCUGAAGGUGGUGAAGAGGCUGAUCCUGCUGCUGACGUCACCAGAGUUGCCGGCGAUGAUGGCUGCGGGACAAAAGAGAGAGACAACAGAGGUGAGUGACACCCUCAAAAAGUCUAAACACUAUUUUUCGAGCACACAUGUCAGGUUAAACCAAGACCUGACAACACCCAUUAACUUUUUAGGCAGGGCAAUGUUGGUGCAUAAGUUGAAGAUUUAUGUCACACACUGGUGCAUAAGUUGAAGAUUUAGUUCACACACUGCACCCUUUCUUUGACUGCAAGUUAGUGUUGUUUCCCUAAGGAGAAGUGCUGUCACUUAGGACAUCUAGAUAGGAGUCACUAAGCAGUCACCAAUGAAAUGUGGAUAGCCUUUAAGAGAGAAGUAGAUAGCUGUCACUGAGGAGAUCUAGAUAGUCGCUAAGAAAAAGUCGCUAGAUAGCAAUCUCAUUGACUCACGUGGGCCAUUCGUUGUUGUUGUGGUUGUUGUGGGGGCUGUUGUGGUGGUCGUGGUGGUUGUUGUGGGGGCUGCUGUGGUGGUUUCAGCAGCUGUUGUGGUAGUUUCUGGAGCUGUUGUGGGUGCUGAUGUGGUAGUGGUGGGAGCUGUUGUGGUAGAUGCUGGAGCUGUUGUGGUGGUUGCAGCAGCUGUUGUGGUAGUUUCUGGAGCUGUUGUGGGUGCUGAUGUGGUAGUGGUGG